rnacentral:tRNA from 1 species
GGGAAGUUGAACCGAUAUAAGCGAGAAGUAUUAUAUAAUCAAUAAGUUACGCGCGAAAAUCGCUCCCUUCACACGGGAUAGGUCGCAGGUUCAAUCCCUGCCGCGCCCACCA